AAAUUAGGUUUGGUUUAUCAAUAAAUAAUUCUUUUAAAUUUUUUAUAAAUUAUUUAAAAAAUAUAAAUUAGAAAAUAAAAUUUAUUUAAUAAUUAAAAGUUAUUGAAAUUUAAUAAAAAACUUAGCUAAUUUUGUGCCAGCAGCAGCGGUUAAACAAAAAAGUUUUUUAUUCAAUAAAUUUUUUUAAAAAACAUAUAAAAAUAUAUGUUUAAAAAAAGGUGAAAUUUUUUUAAACUUAUAUUAUUUUUUGAAUAAAAAACUCAAUUUAUAUGACAAGGAUUAGAUACCCUUUUAUUAAUGAGCUAAAAAUUGUUAGUAAAUAAUAUUUAUGAAAACAAAAAAUUGUGGCGGUACUUUAAGCUUUUCAGAGGAAUUUGCUCUUUAAUGGAUAAAACGCCCUAAUCUUACUAGUAUUAGUUAAUUCAGUUUGUAUACCACUAUUAAAGUUAUAAUUAAUUAAUAUUACUUUAAUUUUUAAAAAUUAAUUUUAAAAAAAAUUUUAAGUCAUGGUGCAGCUAAAAUACUAGAAUGAAGUGAAUUACAAUUUUUUUAAAAAAAAGAAUUUGUAUAAGAAUUAUAUAAAAAUUUAUAGGAUUUGAAAGUAAAAAUUCAAUAGAAUGGUAUUUUGAAUUAAGCUCUGAAGUAUGUACAUAUCGCCCGUCGCUCUUUUUCAAAAGAUAAGUCGUAACAAAGUUAAAAUACUGGAAAGUGUUUU
rnacentral:ncRNA from 1 species